AACAAACGCUGGCGGCGUGCCUAAUACAUGCAAGUCGAACGGGGAAAGCUUUCGGGUGAGUACUAGUGGCGCACGGGUGAGGAACGCGUGGAUAAUCUGCCUUAGAGUGGGGGAUAACUAGUCGAAAGAUUAGCUAAUACCGCAUAAGACCACAGGAGCUGCGGCUCAAGGGGUCAAAGGUUUUUCGAUCUAAGAUGAGUCCGCGUAAGAUUAGCUAGUUGGUGAGGUAACGGCUCACCAAGGCGACGAUCUUUAACUGGUCUGAGAGGAUGAUCAGCCACACUGGAACUGAGACACGGUCCAGACUCCUACGGGAGGCAGCAGUAGGGAAUAUUGCACAAUGGAGGAAACUCUGAUGCAGCGACGCCGCGUGAGUGAUGAAGGCCUUCGGGUCGUAAAGCUCUGUCGCAGGGGAAUAACACAAUGAAUGUACCCUGUAAGAAAGGAUCGGCUAACUUCGUGCCAGCCGCCGCGGUAACAC
rnacentral:rRNA from 1 species